rfam:Triticum aestivum genome assembly, contig: Triticum_aestivum_CS42_TGACv1_scaffold_542725_6DS
CCCCUGGACGACGACAAGCUCAUCUCCUACAUCAUCAACGCCCUGGACAUGGAAUAUCAGCAGCUGGUCUCUGCCCUUGAUGCUCGUGUCAUCCCGGUCACUCUUGACGAAUUGUUCGCUCAGAUGAGCAACUUCGAUC